GAGAGGUUUGAUACAUAUUCGAUUUCAGACAGAAUCUUAUCUUACUGAGCAGACUAGAUUCAAGAGGCUACAGGACGGUAGCUGGUGAAGGAAUCCUAAAGGUGCUAUACGACGAUAGGAUUGUUCUGGAGGGGAAGAAGAAGAGGAGAGGACAUUAUUACCUGACGGAGAGUCCAACGCGAGGUGGAGCUUCAGGAGCCAAGAGGAGACUAGAGCGAGGUGGAGCUCCAGAUAGAAGUGGAUCGGGC
rnacentral:lncRNA from 1 species